CUGCUGUAUUGUUUUACCAUAUUUUGUUGUUUUACAUGGUGUUGAACUGUAUUUUCCUUUUCAGCUUAUUUUUAAUUUAAAAAAUGUUUAUUCUUUUAUAUAGAUUUUAUUCUAUUCCAUUGUGCAAUUUUAGGUUCAUAGCAAAAUUGGGCAGAAAGUACAGUGAGAUCCCUGUAUCCCCUUACCCUCAACUUAUUUUUUUUCUUUCUUUUUCUUUUUGAGACAGGGACUCAUUCUGCUGCCCAGGCUAGAAUGCAGUGGUGUAAUCAUGGCUCAUUGCAACCUCCACCUCCUGGGCUCGAGUGAUCCUCCCAUCUGAACCUCCCCAACUAGCUGGAACCACUGGUGCGCACUACCACAUCCGGCUAAUUUUUGCAUUUUUUGUAGAGACAGGUUUUCACCACGUUGCCCAGGCUAAUCUCAAACUCCUGAACUCAAGCGAUCUGCCCACCUCGGCCACCCAAAGUGCCAGGAUUACAGGAGCAGAAAUUUGCAACCUCCUCUUUGCCGCAACACACCAAAAGGAGCAGAAUCAUUGACUCUUAGUAGUUCUCAGCUGUGAUGCAACAAAGCAUUUCAAAACCUCUAGCUGAAUGCUAAGACAAAGGCUUCUCAUUGUGUGAAAGCUGAAGGAUCUCUCCCUGCAUUCCCUUCAUGGGCAUCUCUAGGCUACUUGGCCUCAUGGAUGCUUCAGGCUCUCCAGUGGCUUCAGAGAUCCCUAGUUUCCAGAGGAUGCAACAAUAAGGCACCAUCUUGGAAGCAGAAAGCAGCCCUCACCAGACACCAAAUCUGCCAGCACCUUGAUCUUGGAUUUCCCAGACUCCAGAACUGUGAGAAAUAAAUUUUUAUUUUUUAUCAAUGAGCCAGUCUAAGGUAUUUUGUUAUAGCAACGCAAACGGACCAAGAUAAUUACCUUUUUUUACUAGAAUAUUUGUUACCUGAGCAUGAAGUUUUAUCUUUCUUUACUGCCUUUUACAUAGGAGGUAAUCAAAUGUGUCCUGAAUUCAGGUUAUUAAAUUAUAUAAUGAAUUAGAUUAUAUUGCCACUGUGUUGUCUCUUUUCACCAAAAUCUACUAAUAAAUAGUUAUGUUAAGAAAUUAAAUAUAUUGCCAGGUGCGGUGGCUCACGCUGUAAUCCCAGCACUUUGGGAAGCUGAGGCGGGCGGAUCACAAGGUCAGAAGUUCAAGACCAGCCUGGCCAAGAGACCAGCCUGGUCAAUAUGGUGAAACCCUAUCUCUACUAAAAA
rnacentral:lncRNA from 10 species